UAAGGAAUAUUGCUCAAUGGGAGAAAUCCUGAAGCAGCAACGCCGCGUGGAGGAUGAAGGGUCUAUGACUUGUAAACUCCUGUAAAGAAGGAAAAAUUCCCAUUUGAUGGGAGAUGAUGGUACUUCUGGAGUAAGCCCCGGCUAACUACGUGCCAGCAGCCGCGGUAAUACGUAGGGGGCAAGCGUUGUCCGGAUUUACUGGGUGUAAAGGGUGCUCAGGCGGAUUUGUAAGUCAGAGGUGAAAUCUUACAGCUUAACUGUGAAACUGCCUUUGAUACUGCAAGCCUAGAGUAUGGAAGAGAGUGAUGGAAUAUCUGGUGUAGCAGUGAAAUGCGUAGAUAUCAGAUAGAACACCCAUGGCGAAGGCAGUCACUUGGUCCAUUACUGACGCUAAAGCACGAAAGCGUGG
rnacentral:rRNA from 1 species